rnacentral:rRNA from 1 species
UACGAAGGGGGCUAGCGUUGUUCGGAAUUACUGGGCGUAAAGCGCGCGCAGGCGGCUAUCCAAGUCAGUGGUGAAAGCCCGGAGCUCAACUCCGGAACUGCCAUUGAAACUGUUUAGCUUGAGGACGAGAGAGGUGAGUGGAAUUCCCAGUGUAGAGGUGAAAUUCGUAGAGAUCGGGAGGAACACCAGAGGCGAAAGCGGCGUCCUGGACAGGCACUGACACUCAACUACGAAAGCGUGGGGAGCAAACAGG